rnacentral:rRNA from 1 species
UCGCCCUUAAGUUUGAUCCUGGCUCAGAGCGAACGCUGGCGGCAGGCCUAACACAUGCAAGUCGAACGGACCCUUCGGGGUUAGUGGCGGACGGGUGAGUAACACGUGGGAACGUGCCUUUAGGUUCGGAAUAGCUCCUGGAAACGGGUGGUAAUGCAGAAUGUGCCCUUCGGGGGAAAGAUUUAUCGCCUUUAGAGCGGCCCGCGUCUGAUUAGCUAGUUGGUGAGGUAAUGGCUCACCAAGGCGACGAUCAGUAGCUGGUCUGAGAGGAUGACCAGCCACAUUGGGACUGAGACACGGCCCAAACUCCUACGGGAGGCAGCAGUGGGGAAUCUUGCGCAAUGGGCGAAAGCCUGACGCAGCCAUGCCGCGUGAAUGAUGAAGGUCUUAGGAUUGUAAAAUUCUUUCACCGGGGACGAUAAUGACGGUACCCGGAGAGGAAGCCCCGGCUAACUUCGUGCCAGCAGCCGCGGUAAUACGAAGGGGGCUAGCGUUGCUCGGAAUUACUAGGCGUAAAGGGCGCGUAGGCGGACAUUUAAGUCAGGGGUGAAAUCCCAGAGCUCAACUCUGGAACUGCCUUCGAUACUGGGUGGCUUGAGUGUGAGAGAGGUAUGUGGAACUCCGAGUGUAGAGGUGAAAUGCGUAGAUAUUCGGAAGAACACCAGUGGCGAAGGCGACAUACUGGCUCAUUACUGACGCUGAGGCGCGAAAGCGUGGGGAGCAAACAGGAUUAGAUACCCUGGUAGUCCACGCCGUAACGAUGAUUGCUAGUUGUCGGGCUGCAUGCAGUUCGGUGACGCAGCUAACGCAUUAAGCAAUCCGCCUGGGGAGUACGGUCGCAAGAUUAAAACUCAAAGGAAUUGACGGA